rnacentral:sRNA from 1 species
UUUUAGCCCCGAUUGAAGUGUAAAUCCUCGAAGAGAUUGAAACGGAAAGCGGGAAAAUGG